rnacentral:lncRNA from 1 species
CUAGAUGGCUGCAGCUAUAGAUCUGUCCGGGGAGGAUCUGGUGAGAGCACUCGAGCCUUUUAUCCGAGAGGCCUCUGCCCCCCCUCCGCUCCACUCCCAUCCUAGUCCCACCUCGCCAUUCUCCUUCCCCCACGCCGCCUACAGUGGUUACCCGUACGGGGUGCAGGCACAGGCCCAGACCGAGCUCAGCCCGGCCCAGAUGCACUACAUCCAGGCACGCCUCCACCUCCAGCGCCAGACCGGCCAGCCGGGCCACCUCGGCCCGCGGCCCCAGCCCAUGAAGCCCGCUUCGGCGGCAGCGGCCACACCGCCGCGGCCGCAGAAGCUCUACCGCGGCGUUCGGCAGCGCCACUGGGGCAAGUGGGUGGCGGAGAUCCGCCUCCCCCGCAACCGCACCCGCCUCUGGCUCGGCACCUUCGACACCGCCGAGGAGGCGGCUCUCGCCUACGACCAGGCCGCCUACCGCCUCCG